AGAGUUUGAUCCUGGCUCAGAACGAACGCUGGCGGCAGGCUUAACACAUGCAAGUUGAACGUGAUUUGCUGGGUGCUUGCACCGAGCAAUGAAAGUAGCGCACUGGUGAGUAACACGUGGGAACGUACCUUUUGGUGGGGAACAACAGUUGGAAACGACUGCUAAUACCGCAUAAGCCCUGAGGGGGAAAGAUUUAUCGCCGAAAGAACGGCCCGCGGAAGAUUAGGUAGUUGGUGGGGUAACGGCCUACCAAGCCGACGAUCUAUAGCUGGUCUGAGAGGACGAUCAGCCACAUUGGAACUGAGACACGGUCCAAACUCCUACGGGAGGCAGCAGUGAGGAAUAUUGGGCAAUGGAGGCAACUCUGACCCAGCCAUGCCGCGUGAGUGAAGAAGGUUUUCGGAUUGUAAAGCUCUUUCGGGUGUGACGAUGAUGACGGUAGCACCUAAAGAAGCCCCGGCUAACUUCGUGCCAGCAGCCGCGGUAAUACGAAGGGGGCAAGCGUUGUUCGGAAUUACUGGGCGUAAAGGGAGUGUAGGCGGUUAUGUAAGAUAGUGGUGAAAUCCCAGAGCUUAACUUUGGAAUUGCCAUUAUGACUAUGUGGCUAGAAUUACAGAGAGGAUAGUGGAAUACCCAGUGUAGAGGUGAAAUUCGUAGAUAUUGGGUAGAACACCAGUGGCGAAGGCGACUAUCUGGCUGUAUAUUGACGCUGAGGCUCGAAAGCAUGGGGAUCAAACAGGAUUAGAUACCCUGGUAGUCCAUGCUGUAAACGAUGAGUGCUUGUUGUCGGUGUAAAAUCGGUGACGAAGUUAACGCGUUAAGCACUCCGCCUGGGGAGUACGGUCGCAAGAUUAAAACUCAAAGGAAUUGAC
rnacentral:rRNA from 1 species